rnacentral:tRNA from 1 species
CAUUAAGAAGCUAAACAGCACUAACCUUUUAAGUUAGAGAUUAGGAAUCUUAAUUUCCUCUUAAUGA